ACCAGAAAAAGAUCAAAAAAAAGCAAAAGAGUUGAUCAAUAGGGAUGUUUGUUCAAGGGGUUCUCCUACCUAACAGAAAAUGCAGGUUAUGACACAUCCAGCCCCACCACGUAUGAUGAUGAGCGAUGGGGAGGCAGGAAGCUACUGCAGGAGGUGGACACAUUGGACAGUAAUAGCAGCUUGGAAGAGGACGAGGAAAAGAAAAACUGCACCGAGCCAGGUAACAAAAUGAAAGAAAGAAAUUAAACCUCUAAUAUUCCUUCCUCUCUUGCCCCCGCUCCAGGUAAGAGAGAAAGAAGGAAGAAAGAGAGCACCCCGUAUUCUCCCUCCCUCCACCCGUUAUUCCCAUCUCUCCUUGUCUUACCAAUCUGGGGUAAAAUAGACUUGGGUCAGAUAGGCUCCCAUGAGCCUACAGUACAUCACACACACACACGGUAGUGUUCUUUCUGGGUGUUUCAGCACUUUUCACACUUAUUCUCGGUCACAUUCUGGGACCCCUGUAGCUUUUCUGACAAGUGAAUGUCCCCAGUUUCCAUGGCGACCUCUUAUCUGAUCAUCAACGAGCGCCUUGGGCUUGACUGUUCAAGCCGGCACUCGUCGAUGGAUGAAUGGUGUGUAAGAAUGCUUGAGUUACAUGUUUUUAUUUUACCUUUAUUUAACUAGGCAAGUCAGUUAAUAAGAACAAAUUCUUAUUUUCAAUGACAGCCUAGGAACAGUUGGUUAACUGCCUUGUUCAGGGGCAGAACGACAGAUUUUUUACCUUGGGGAUUCGAUCUUGCAAUCUUUCGGUUACUAGUCCAAUGCUCUAACCACUAGGCUACACACUGCUAGAUGGAAUGGUGCUGUAUAGAACCAAAAAGGGUUAAAUCCCUCAAAUAGACAAAACUAUAUAUAUAUAUUAGUGCCGGUCAAAAGUUGACACACCUACUCAUUCAAGGAUUUUUCUUUAUUUUUUACUAUUUUCUACAUUGUAGAAUAAUAGUGAAGACAUCAAAACUAUGAAAUAACACAUAGAAUCAUGUAGUAACCAAAAAAGUGUUAAACAAAUCAAAAUAUAUUUUAUAUUUGAGAUUCUUCAAAGUAGCCACCCUUUGCCUUGAUGACAGCUUUGCACACUCUUGGCAUUCUCUCAACCAGCUUCAUGAAGUAGUCACCUGGAAUGCAUUUCGAAUUUCUUUCCUUCUUAAUGCGUUUAAGCCAAUCAGUUGUGUUGUGACCAGGUAGGGGUCCAUAUUAUGGCAAGAACAGCUCAAAUAAGCAAAGAGAAAUAACAGCUCAUCAUUACUUUAAGACAUGAAGGUCAGUCAAUCUGGAAAAUUUGAAGAACUUUGAAAGUUUCUUCAAGUGCAGUCGCAAAAACCAUCAAGCGCUAUGAUGAACCUGGCUCUCAAGAGGACCGCCACAGGAAAGGAAGACCCAGAGUUACCUCUGCUGCAGAGAAUAAGUUCAUUAGAGUUACCAGCC
rnacentral:lncRNA from 8 species